rnacentral:lncRNA from 1 species
GCGAGGGAGAGAAAUGGUCGAGUACAGAAGCCUGCGUGUGGGUAAGAAAAUACCCUAACCACUCGCCCACCGGACGCAGGGCGGCUGGGACUGCGAAUCCAGCAGCAGCCACAGCGUAGCAGCGGGCGGCAGCCGCCGAGGCAGCAAUGUCAGGAGGGCACAGCUGGAGGAGGCGGCCGCCAAAGCCACUACCCCACCCCCAGGAAGAUUUGGAAAAGAGGCACUGGCUACUGGAGGAAGGGAGAAAUCACCGAGAGAGCGAAAGAUGUAACAGAAACAGGCUCUUGUUCUGUCACCCAUACUUGGAGUGCAGUGGUACAAUGAUAGCUCACUGCAGCCUCAAACUCCUGGUCUCAAGCAAUCCUCUCACCUCAGCCU